CAAAUGAACAAAUUUCAUUUCCAAAAGAAGAAGGGCAAAUAUGUAAUUUCACAUUUAAAAAGGACAAAUUUUAAUUUCAAUAGUAAGAUUUUAUAGAUCCAUUCCUCUUCCACCUUUGCAGAACAUCGGUCUUUAUUCAAACAAAAAAGUUCAAUUCAUUCCUAGCACAAAGACUUACUCAAACAUGAUUCUAAAGCAUAAUUUCUUCCAACUCUCUUCUUUCAACAACCAUUAAUCGAUUUGCAAUUCAAAACUUCAGUUUCAUCAGCUUCAAAUAUAAUAUGUACCUUCUAAGAGAAAAGAUGAGGUAGGAAUGAUGUGUGCUUAAUUUAAGGCGUUUCUUGAUUCUACUAGAGUAUUCUAGAGAACGACAGGCAAACCAACAGGCAUUUUCUUCAGUACUAGCUCUCAAGGAGGUGGCGAAGACACUACCACGUUAGUUCCUUCUUUGAAUUCAAUGUGCGAUUUAAAAUAAGCUAUAUAUUCUUAUAUAUGAAUACAAAUGAUUUUAGUAAAAUUAAAUAGCUAUUGAUCUGCAGAUAUGAAACCCAUCUUAAGAUAAAAAUUAUUGAUAAAAUUUUUUAUAUCAACAAACUUCUUGCU